rnacentral:tRNA from 1 species
GGGAGCAGAUGGAUUCUGGUGUUUCCCGCGGCCUUCAAAGCCGUUGACGGGUGCAGGCAAUGUGCCCGUGGUGGGUUCGAUUCCCACAUGCUCCCGCCA